UUGAAAGGGAAACGAUUGAAGUCAUCAUACCAAAAAAUCAACCUCUUANUCUUCUCNUNNUUUAAAUUUCAAACCUUUAAUUCCAAAAUAUCUCUUUUUACUUUUUCUANNUUAUCAACAUCNUUUUAAUUCAUAAAAUACNNAGAAUUACUUCNUCUCCAUUAAUUUAUACCUUUUAAAUUNUUUUAACCNANUUCAACAAUACCCUUCUGCUAUUCCCUAUCUCUAUACUUCCUUAUUUCAACUCCUUAUAUUUUNUAUUACGUCAAAAAUUAAACAAUUACAUUCGUUAAGGAUGUUGACGUA
rnacentral:rRNA from 1 species